GAAGAAGGAGGGUCUGGAGGAAGGAUCCUGAGGAAGGAGAUAGUGAAGGAAUGAUCUGGAAGGAUUGGAGGAGUGGGUGAAACAGGAGAGAGAAUCCCUGUUCUGAGGUGAAGGCUUAGCUAAUGCAUUCCACCUGCCGGAGUCACCAGGGGAACUCCAGAGACAAGCUUCAAUCUGCUCUCAAAGGCUUCUAGUGCCACAUCUAUUGGAUUGAUAAACAGCAAAGGACUCCACUCCAUGGACUUCAAAUCACUACCUGGGAAACUGCAAUGGUUGGAGCUGCAAUGGGCUGAUGGAUAAAGCUCCUAUCUCAUCCUCUUUAUCUGGGAUUCUGGAAUGUAUUCAUGCAUCAGGAAAGCUCCUGCUGAAACAACAUUCAGCUGUAGUGCUGCUGCUGAUGGUUAUGAGGAAGGCAGAGCAAGAUAAGCCAAGGCUGAGUGAAAUAUCCCCUCUUUGUAAUGCAGAGGGUUGAGAAUUUGUUUGGCUUAUAAAAUGGGACAGUCUUGACCUUAAAGCAAACCAGAAGUUUCUUCCAGAUUUGAAAUACCUCAGAAUUAAGGAAUUUCCUCUUUCCUCCCUAUCUGGAUCUUCUGUUUUGUCAAAAGCCCGUAAGAGACUGUUCAGUCAUGUGAAGAUCUCAUGAAUUUUAAAGUUUUGUGUCUGUCGGCGCAGAUGGGCACUGGCAACGCUUGGCACUGCAGCCGAGAGCUUGGCAGGCAUUACCA